UACGAAGGGUGCAAACGUUGCUCGGAAUUAUUGGGCGUAAAGCGCACGUAGGCGGCUUUGUGUGUCGGAUGUGAAAUCCCUCGGCUCAACCAAGGAAGUGCAUUCGAAACUGCAAAGCUUGAGUACUUAAGAGGAUCGCGGAAUUCCCGGUGUAGAGGUGAAAUUCGUAGAUAUCGGGAGGAACACCAGUGGCGAAGGCGGCGACCUGGGAAGAUACUGACGCUGAGGUGCGAAAGCGUGGGGAGCAAACAGG
rnacentral:rRNA from 1 species